UCCAUUCGUUUCAUCAUCUCUUUCACAGCAAUCACAAACUGGAUGUGUCUAUUCAUCUCCAACAAUAGAGAGCAAUUGGCAUAUUUCAGUC